rnacentral:rRNA from 1 species
AUACGUAGGUGGCAAGCGUUGUCCGGAAUUAUUGGGCGUAAAGCGCGCGCAGGUGGUUCCUUAAGUCUGAUGUGAAAGCCCCCGGCUCAACCGGGGAGGGUCAUUGGAAACUGGGGAACUUGAGUGCAGAAGAGGAUAGUGGAAUUCCAAGUGUAGCGGUGAAAUGCGUAGAGAUUUGGAGGAACACCAGUGGCGAAGGCGACUGUCUGGUCUGUAACUGACACUGAGGCGCGAAAGCGUUGGGAGCAAACAGGAUUAGAUACCCUGGUAGUCCACGCCGUAAACGAUGAGUGCUAAGUGUUGGGGGGUUUCCGCCCCUCAGUGCUGCAGCUAACGCAUUAAGCACUCCGCCUGGGGAGUACGGUCGCAAGACUGAAACUCAAAGGAAUUGACGGGG